rnacentral:rRNA from 1 species
CCAAGGAGUCUAACAUGUGCGCGAGUCACGGGGAUUUCUCGAAACCCCAGGGCGCAAUGAAAGUAAAGGCGAGCUUCGGCAACUCGCCCAGGCAGGAUCCCGGUGCCGUGACAAGCGCCGGGCGCACUGCCGGCCCGUCCGACGCAGCGGGGGGUUCUCCCUCCGUCUGCCGGGCGGAGCAAGAGCGCACACGUUGGUACCCGAAAGAUGGUGAACUAUGCUUGAGCAGGACGAAGUCAGGGGAAACUCUGAUGGAGGUCCGCAGCGAUUCUGACGUGCAAAUCGAUCGUCAGACUUGAGUAUAGGGGCGAAAGACCAAUCGAACCAUCUAGUAGCUGGUUCCCUCCGAAGUUUCCCUCAGGAUAGCUGGCACACGUCUCAGCGGAGUUUUAUCCGGUAAAGCGAAUGAUUAGAGAGCUCGGGGGACUAUUCCGCCCUCGAUCUAUUCUCAAACUUUAAAUGGGUAAGAAGUCCGGCUCGCUUCCACAUAGCGGAGUUCGGAAUUGCCAUUGAAGGGGGGAGAAGGCGGCGGCCUCGGCCGUCGCUCGCGAACCCCGAGAUGCAGAAUCCGUGGUGCCAAGUGGGCCACUUUU